rnacentral:rRNA from 1 species
GACGAACCGUGCGAACGUUGUUCGGAAUCACUGGGCUUAAAGGGCGCGUAGGCGGAUCAUCAAGUCCGAGGUGAAAUCUUUCGGCUUAACCGGAAAAGUGCCUUGGAUACUGGUGGUCUCGAGUGAGGUAGGGGCAUGUGGAACUUCUGGUGGAGCGGUGAAAUGCGUUGAUAUCAGAAGGAACUCCGGUGGCGAAAGCGACGUGCUGGACCUCUUCUGACGCUGAGGCGCGAAAGCUAGGGGAGCGAACGGG